UGCUCCUUCCUCGAGCUCCACCUCGCCGUCCUUCUGCACAUCGUCGCCGACCCCUUCUCCACCUCGCCGGACCGCCCCAACCCUGUCGUCAUCCAUGUGACCUUGCAGGAGGUAGCCACCGCGCCUGCUUUGCCUCUGCGCCCGCCUUGCACCGAGCUCCACCACUGUUCGAUCUCCACCUCGCCAUGGAUGGGGCUGUCCCCAGUAGCAGGCUAUCUCCCUCACCUCCUAUGUCGCCUGCCUUGCUCGGUUGGUUGCCACGCGCUGCUGCCUCCAAGCACCAUCUAUGCAUCUCUGUGGUUAGCGCCUUCGUCGAAUCCUCAGGGGUCACCUUCAGUAAGUGGUACCCGAAGUGCAACAAUGACCGGUGAAGACCCCUGCCCCCUGUACCAUCCUGUUGCUGUCGCUGGACACCAAGUAUCCAUCAUCGCGUUCCGUUUCUUCUAUGUCAAGCCCAAGAGGGUGCCAAGAUACCAAGUACCA
rnacentral:rRNA from 1 species